UUUAAUUGAUUUCUUCGGAAUGAAGUUUUUGUGACUGAGUGGCGGACGGGUGAGUAACGCGUGGGUAACCUGCCUCAUACAGGGGGAUAACAGUUGGAAACGACUGCUAAUACCGCAUAAGCGCACAGGAUCGCAUGAUCCGGUGUGAAAAACUCCGGUGGUAUGAGAUGGACCCGCGUCUGAUUAGCCAGUUGGCGGGGUAACGGCCCACCAAAGCGACGAUCAGUAGCCGACCUGAGAGGGUGACCGGCCACAUUGGAACUGAGAGACGGUCCAAACUCC
rnacentral:rRNA from 1 species